GGUCCGCUGGCUCAAUGGUAGAGCGUUUGACUACGACUCCUCCGCCUUCUCUGGGAUAUCCCAGGGUGGGUCGGGUAAUCAAGAGGUUCCAGGUUCGAGCCCUGGGCGGAUCG